rnacentral:rRNA from 1 species
CAGGCCUAACACAUGCAAGUCGAACGAGAAAGGGGAGCAAUCCCUGAGUAAAGUGGCGCACGGGUGAGUAACACGUGACUAACCUACCCUGGAGUGGGGGAUAACUGAGGGAAACCUUAGCUAAUACCGCAUAAUACCUACGGGUCAAAGGAGCAAUUCGCUUCAGGAGGGGGUCGCGGCCGAUUAGUUAGUUGGCGGGGUAAUGGCCCACCAAGACGAUGAUCGGUAUCCGGCCUGAGAGGGCGCACGGACACACUGGAACUGAAACACGGUCCAGACUCCUACGGGAGGCAGCAGUGGGGAAUUUUGCGCAAUGGGGGAAACCCUGACGCAGCAACGCCGCGUGGAGGAUGAAGUACUUCGGUACGUAAACUCCUUUCGAUCGGGACGAUAAUGACGGUACCGGAAGAAGAAGCCCCGGCUAACUUCGUGCCAGCAGCCGCGGUAAUACA